ACCAUGCUUAAUGAUGAGCAUCAUGAUUCUGUAUGGUGGCUUCCGACCACAUUUGCUGUAAGUGUCCAUUGGAACCCAUUAAAUGAUAAACACUUCCUUAGCGUACAUGUGGCAAUCAUUCAGUCAUAAUCCUUAUUCUAUUGAUGUAGCAAAUUGCUUUGAACCCUUCCACUUAUUGCAAGGAAACUAUGGCCUUUAUUCAUCACAAAUACAUGAAAUAUGUUGACGAGACGGCAAAGGUUAGACAUUUAACGUAGUUCAUUUUAAGAAAAAAGAGGCAACUCAUGACUUAAUGGCUGAAAACGUCCUUUUUUUUCAUCCUAGAUUUACAUUCCCUUGAACAAGGAUCAACACCGGUACCUUAUGGUUGUGGACUUGUGCGAAAAAGCUCUUAUAUAUCUGGACUCUGCUAAAGACAUCGACGCGCGUGAAGGCAGAAUGGAUCAAAUGGAGUACGUGGCAUUUUUCCUGCUUAGGCUACUCAAGGAUAGGAAAUUUUAUAGGAAGAAGGAGAGCAAAUGUCCAGAAAGGUCAGAGUUUGAGGUCCGAGAGCCCAUGACCAGCCAACAGCGACCAAAUUCAUGAGCACACCAUAUCCUCUGCAUCUUAUAAAAUUCACGUUUUUACACAAAUUUGAUAUCCUGAUUUUGUUGGUGUUGAUCGUACUACCCUUGAUCAGACUAGACUGCGGGGUCUGGGUUACGCAAUGGAUGCAACUGUCUGAGUUGUGGACUUCGUACGAUCUCGAGAUUGUAAAUGACACCCACCGGAUGCAGCUGGCGGUGGAUUUGGUCAUGUCAAGGGCCAACCCAAUAAGGUCCAAAA